GCGUAAUAGCUCACUGGUCGAGUCGGCCUGCGCGGAAGAUGUAACGGGGCUAAACCAUGCACCGAAGCUGCGGCAGCGACGCUGAUGCGUUGUUGGGUAGGGGAGCGUUCUGUAAGCCUGCGAAGGUAUGCUGUGAGGCAUGCUGGAGGUAUCAGAAGUGCGAAUGCUGACAUAAGUAACGAUAAAGCGGGUGAAAAGCCCGCUCGCCGGAAGACCAAGGGUUCCUGUCCAACGUUAAUCGGGGCAGGGUGAGUC
rnacentral:rRNA from 1 species